CUCGAGGUUGAAGACGGCGCCGUGGGUGCGGGUGCUGAGGUACACCGAGUCCGCGGGAUGGAUGGAACCAUAGAGGCCUUGAUCAAGAGCUAUGUUGUAGAAGGCUCACAUGUGAUGACUGAGGAGGAACCUGGAGGAUCUUUGUAGAAGAGCUAUCCUGUGAGGACAGAUCUGAAGGAUCUCUACAGUAAGAAUGAGAUUCGGAAAGGGCUGAACAUUCAGCAGGUCCUCCCAUCAGGCUUUUAUACUUUGGGAGCAGCAGAUUCACUCCUGAUAUCUUUGACAUCAUUCUUUAUUGGGAACAAGAUUGACAAAAUGAGCAAGGCAGAUGGACAAGGCAAAAAAAAAGGCUGAAAUGGCAGCGAUAUCCCAGGCAUUUUCCUGAUUGAAGCCAUGCAUCUCGAGCUUUUUGAAAUGGUCAUCUAUUACAUCAUUAGCUUGGGAAAUAAGAAGUACAAACUCCAGCAUUGCCUUCACCCGAGCAGAGAGGUUAGACUUUCUCCACUUCACGCAGACCUGCAAGAAAACACACUGUCAAAAGCAGAAUCUCUGUUCAUCACAAUACAGCCGAGAAUACAAAAGGCCUAACAAAAUGAAAAGACGCAAGGUUAGAAUAAAGGGGCAAAGUCAGGACAAAAUAAACUUUCCAGUGUGAUGCAAACUUGAAACUCUGGCUCAACCCUACCUCUGCAAAGAAGUCUUCUUUGCUCACUCAGCUACAAGCUCCUCUAAAUACUCAUGGCACCAAAAAUCUCAGAACCAAGACUCAGAGACUCUAAGUACAUAAUGACUCUGAAUCCAAACUUUUUCUUACGAGUAAAGUGAAGCUCAGAUAAUUGAGCUUCACUUUGUCCCCAAUUAAUCCUACACAAGACAUAAUAUGUGUAAAAUUAAUAGCUAACACUUAGCAAUUACUAUGUGCUAAUAAGAAUGUGCUCAAUGCUUCAUAUUCAUUAUGUUAUUGCUUACAAAAAUCCUAGGAAGUAGUAUUUUUAUUA